UUCCAGACUCCUACGGGAGGCAGCAGUGAGGAAUAUUGGUCAAUGGACGAGAGUCUGAACCAGCCAAGUAGCGUGAAGGAUGACUGCCCUAUGGGUUGUAAACUUCUUUUAUAUGGGAAUAAAACAGGGUAUGCAUACCCUCUUGAAUGUACCAUAUGAAUAAGGAUCGGCUAACUCCGUGCCAGCAGCCGCGGUAAUACGGGGGAUGCGAGCGUUAUCCGGAUUUAUUGGGUUUAAAGGGUGCGUAGGCGGCGCUUCAGGUCAGCGGUGAAAUACCGGGGCUCAACCCCGGGGCUGCCGUUGAAACCGGAGCGCUAGAAUUCCGAUGCCGUCGGAGGAAUGUGUGGUGUAGCGGUGAAAUGCAUAGAUAUCACACAGAACACCGAUUGCGAAGGCAUCUGACGAAGCGGAGAUUGACGCUGAUGCACGAAAGCGUGGGUAUCGAACAGGAUUAGAUACCCUUGUAG
rnacentral:rRNA from 1 species